GGGGGCGAUCUUGGUUUCGACGGGGGUUGCGAAGCAGAUGCGGGCAUACCGGGGUCUCAGAUUCCCGUAAAACACUGAACUUAAAUAGUCGCAAACGACGAAACUUACGCACUGGCCGCUUAAGGCCUGCCGUUGCAGCAGUUGGCCGAUGGGCUGCGUAGGGUAAAACCUACAGCAACGUUAUUUACAUGGGCUGGUUUCGUGUCGGGUUACUUGGCACGGAAUAAGAUUUAAGGUAACUGGCUUCCAAACAGCCUGUCUGCCGGCGGAAUGGAAGCAAGACUUCAAAUAGACCGACUAAGUAUGUAGAACGCUUUGUAGAGGACUUUCGGACGGGGGUUCAAUUCCCCCCGCCUCCACCA
rnacentral:tmRNA from 1 species